UACGGAGGGAGCUAGCGUUGUUCGGAAUUACUGGGCGUAAAGCGCACGUAGGCGGCUUUGUAAGUUAGAGGUGAAAGCCCGGGGCUCAACUCCGGAAUUGCCUUUAAGACUGCAUCGCUUGAAUCAUGGAGAGGUGAGUGGAAUUCCGAGUGUAGAGGUGAAAUUCGUAGAUAUUCGGAAGAACACCAGUGGCGAAGGCGACUCACUGGACAUGUAUUGACGCUGAGGUGCGAAAGCGUGGGGAGCAAACAGG
rnacentral:rRNA from 1 species